UUUGGGUUGUAAACCUCUUUUCUCAAGGAAGAAGAUCUGACGGUACUUGAGGAAUAAGCNUCGGCUAACUCCGUGCCAGCAGCCGCGGUAANACGGAGGAUGCAAGCGUUAUCCGGAAUUAUUGGGCGUAAAGCGUCCGUAGGUGGCACAUCAAGUCUGUUUUUAAAUCGUGCAGCUCAACUGCAUACUGGGAAUGGAAACUGAUGAGCUAGAGUUCGGUAGGGGCAGAGGGAAUUCCCGGUGUAGCGGUGAAAUGCGUAGAUAUCGGGAAGAACACCAGUGGCGAAAGCGCUCUGCUGGGCCUGAACUGACACUGAUGGACGAAAGCUAGGGGAGCGAAAGGGAUUAGAU
rnacentral:rRNA from 1 species